rnacentral:rRNA from 1 species
AUCACCAAGAAUACCCAUUGCGAAGGCGAUCUGCUGGAACUCAACUGACGCUAAGGCGCGAAAGCGUGGGGAGCAAACAGGAUUAGAUACCCUGGUAGUCCACGCCCUAAACGAUGUACACUAGUUGUUGGGGUGCUAGUCAUCUCAGUAAUGCAGCUAACGCAUUAAGUGUACCGCCUGGGGAGUACGGUCGCAAGAUUAAAACUCAAAGGAAUAGACGGGGACCCGCACAAGCGGUGGAGCAUGUGGUUUAAUUCGAAGAUACGCGAAGAACCUUACCUGGGCUUGAUAUCCUAAGAACCUUUUAGAGAUAAGAGGGUGCUAGCUUGCUAGAACUUAGAGACAGGUGCUGCACGGCUGUCGUCAGCUCGUGUCGUGAGAUGUUGGGUUAAGUCCCGCAACGAGCGCAACCCACGUAUUUAGUUGCUAACGGUUCGGCCGAGCACUCUAAAUAGACUGCCUUCGUAAGGAGGAGGAAGGUGUGGACGACGUCAAGUCAUCAUGGCCCUUAUGCCCAGGGCGACACACGUGCUACAAUGGCAUAUACAAUGAGACGCAAUACCGCGAGGUGGAGCAAAUCUAUAAAAUAUGUCCCAGUUCGGAUUGUUCUCUGCAACUCGAGAGCAUGAAGCCGGAAUCGCUAGUAAUCGUAGAUCAGCCAUGCUACGGUGAAUACGUUCCCGGGUCUUGUACUCACCGCCCGUCACACCAUGGGAGUUGAUUUCACUCGAAGCCGGAAUACUAAACUAGUUACCGUCCACAGUGGAAUCAGCGACUGGGGUGAAGUCGUAACAAGGUAACCGUAGGAGAACCUGCGGUUGGAUCACCUCCUUUCUA